CCCCGCCCCGCCGCCACUGAGACUCCCAGCGCCACCAACGUCGGAGUUGCAGUUUCUUUAGCUGUCAUAUGCAGACAAGUACUACCCACCUCGCCUUUGGAGUGAGCAGCAUAGGAAGGAAAUAUGGUUAUACUUUCCUUGCUAAGGAAAUCCAACCCUCCACAAGGCAGCUUUCUUCCCAUCCCCUUGACCUUUUAGGAAAAAGCCCUGUGCCCAUCCUGCUGUGAUUCAGGAGUCUCGCAGAAGACAUCAGAAUGCCUUUCUCUGAGUCACAGUCUGUAUCUUCUAGAAAAGGCUGUCCAUCUUCACCCCAAGCCCACUGGCUCCUGAGAUACGACAUCCAGACCCAGUGCAGCUGGACCUGGCCCAGGAAGAUCAUGCGGUUUCUGGGAAGCACUGGAGAAGGAAAAGGCUGAAGAAAGGAAGACCGGAAAAGAAAUACAAGUCCUUCCGCCUUGGCAAAGAUGAUAGUACCGUUCCCUUCAGUGUUCCGGUUCUGCUCUAUUGGAUAAGUUCCGGUUUGACUAUGACUACGUGAAAAUGUGGAACCAGACCUUCACCCCACAUUCCAGCUCCAGCUCUACCACAGAGGAAGUGCAAUAUCACCUUAGUUAUUCAACACAUUAUGCUCCUCGUGAUACAACCAGAGUUCACAUCAGCAAUCUUGGCAGCUCUCACCACGCUGCUGACUCACGACUCUCUCAUGUCCCAAUUUCCUGUCCAUUGUUCUUUCCUCUACUUGGCCUGAUUUCUAAAGGCCUCUCUUGGUUGCAUUAAGCGGGAUUCCUGAGGGAUUCCCUUGGCAGUUACCUUGGGGGAGCUCUUAGGUUUGGGGCUGAUCCAUGUCCUCUAAAUGUAGGACUUCAAAGCUCCCAAAGAUAGGCAGGCCCAGUGGGAAGCUGGGAAAUGCUCUCUGACCCCUCUGGGAGGGCUGGCAGUCAGAGGGCCUUUUGGAAAGAGUCAGACCUGAUCCAUAAGUCCCUGGAAAACACCCUGCCCAGGGAGCAAAUGCCACUGUGGCCUUGACUGAGGCUUCAGAAGAGUUUGGGAGCUGCAAUUCAUCCACACACGCAUUCAUUUUCAAGUAGUGGUUUGCAGUUCAGGCUUUGGAGCCACAUAAGCCUGGCUUCAAAGCCACUUUCCAGCUUUGUAGGAAGUCUCUACAUUUUUAAACCUCCAUUUUUUUUUCCUGUAAAACUGGGGUCUUCAUGGUACUUAACUUCAUCGUGAUGUUGAGAGAAUGAAAAGAAAAAGGAUAAAUAAAUGGCUUAGCCUCGUGCCUUGGCACAUAUU
rnacentral:lncRNA from 1 species